CAGACCCCAAGGUGCAGCAGAGGAACAGCAGUUCAGACAAUAAACACCAGAGGGCACCCAACACAGAAAACGGAACCAUGACUUCCAGGAAAACUGAAUCCAGAACAAAUCAAAGACGCGAGCACAGGCGACAAAUGGGAAAAGAGGUCGAGUGGAAAGAAAAGAAGAACAAAUCAAACUGGCAGCUCAAAAGAGAACAGGCAACCAAGGAUGCAGCCAUAAAAGAAACAAGAAGCCAAAGAUGCAGCCCCCAACGAGAGAGGGAGAAACAACAAAAAGAAAUGGAAAAA